AUACGGAGGGUGCAAGCGUUACUCGGAAUCACUGGGCGUAAAGCGCGCGCAGGCGGCUAUUUAAGUUGGAUGUGAAAGCCUACGGCUCAACCGUAGAACUGCAUCCAAAACUAUUUAGCUAGAGUGCGGGAGAGGAAGAUGGAAUUAGUUGUGUAGGGGUAAAAUCCGUAGAGAUAACUAGGAAUACCAAAAGCGAAGGCAAUCUUCUGGAACACUACUGACGCUGAGGCGCGAAAGCGUGGGGAGCAAACAGGAUUAGAAACCCUAGUAGUCC
rnacentral:rRNA from 1 species